rnacentral:lncRNA from 1 species
CUCCUUAGAAGUUUUGCAGAUUUAACAUUUGUAAGUCUGGAAAAGGCACCAAGCCAGACAUGCCUUUUCUUGGUUUUUAAAAAUCAUCUUACUUUUCAACAUCACCACCACCAUCACGUUAAGCCUGGUCUUUGCUCGUCUAUCCAUUAGUCUUGUUAUCUCACCGGCUUCUUUUCAGAGUAAAAAUAUUGCCUUUUAAAAAUCACAAUAUUCAAUGGAAAAGACCAUUUUCUAACAAUUCAGAGCCCGUCAGGGCAUCUUUCCUCUGUAGUGGAAUUACAUGACAGGCCAACUUUUUUCUUUCUUUAGGUGCUUGGUCUGAGACCCAACACUCUAUGCCAAUGCUCUGCCACCGAGUCCCCAGCCUGAGAUGUCACCUUUUAAACCAGAAGUUUGCUGGGUCAGGACCUGACCGGGGGCCAGGCCUGCGGAGGGACUCGUUAUUGCAUUUGAUUUCCACAGAAGCGGAACACCAAGGCCAGGAGGGGUCCAGGCUGGGAAAGAAUGUUUGUUUUCAGGGUUUCUGAUAAAGCCUGAGAAACCACACAGGUCGAACAUUCAACCAAUUCGUUUCACUACGUUACCAACUUUUCUGGGAAAAUCUGUAUUUGGCCGCUCUGCUGUGAUAAGAAGCAGCCCCCCCCCCCCCAUGUUUUUCUCAAUUCUGGGAAGAGGGGAAAGCCGAGGGGUUUUCCUCCUAGAGGGGAGAGGUCAACCCUGUGGUGAGCACAGCCAGCCUCAGCCCUCCCUCCUCUGCCCAGCACCCAGGUAGGGCCCUGCCAAGAAGCCACUCCCUAAACCCCUGGCCGGCUGCCUGGGAGGAAGAACCCGGGUCAGAAGCAGCUGGGGAGAGUCCUGGGACAUUUAGGAAGGCUCCAUCUGGACACUCGGGUAUUGGCAUUGACAACAAGCAUGAGCUACUCUUGCUGUGUUAAGGGUGAUAAUAACAGAAGUAGGACUUGGUGGAGUUGGCUGGUCCCCUUCCUUCUUUCCUCCAUUCAAACAACACCUGGGCAUGCUCUCCCGCUGGACUCCAGUCUGACUCCCACAUGCAGGAUGAAGGAGGCCCAGGCCUUGGUCAAGGUCACAGAUGGAGUAUCUGAAUGACAUGAGAGGGGCAAGGACCAGGAGAGGGUGGUACCAGACAAAGGAGCCACAAGGCGGCUCUGUCUUCAGGAGCCUGGGGAGGUGCCAUGGGACGGUGGCACUUGAGCUGGGUUUGUAAACGUUAAGUCCUCCUACAGACCCGGCGAGGAGGAAUGUUCCAG